AAGUCGUAACAAGGUUUCCGUAGGUGAACCUGCGGAAGGAUCAUUAACACUUUUUCCAAAACUCCUUUUUUCUUUUGGCUCAAACCAAAAGAUUUAAGGUUUUAACCCCAAUUUAUGGCGAACGAUGAUUUUCCAAAAUCAUUUUCUCUUCUUUAUCCUCUUUUUUUUUACCCCAAUUUUUAAAAAAUCAAAAGCCUGAUAUAAAUCGUUUUCUCUUUUUUUUCAAAAAGAGUUUUAACGACCGAAACCUAAUGGUUAAAACAACUCUUAGCAACGGAUAUCUUGGCUCUC
rnacentral:misc_RNA from 1 species